rnacentral:rRNA from 1 species
GAUGAACGCUGGCGGCGUGCCUAAUACAUGCAAGUCGAGCGAACAGACGAGGAGCUUGCUCCUCUGACGUUAGCGGCGGACGGGUGAGUAACACGUGGAUAACCUACCUAUAAGACUGGGAUAACUUCGGGAAACCGGAGCUAAUACCGGAUAACAUGUUGAACCGCAUGGUUCAACAGUGAAAGACGGUCUUGCUGUCACUUAUAGAUGGAUCCGCGCCGCAUUAGCUAGUUGGUAAGGUAACGGCUUACCAAGGCAACGAUGCGUAGCCGACCUGAGAGGGUGAUCGGCCACACUGGAACUGAGACACGGUCCAGACUCCUACGGGAGGCAGCAGUAGGGAAUCUUCCGCAAUGGGCGGAAGCCUGACGGAGCAACGCCGCGUGAGUGAAGAAGGUCUUCGGAUCGUAAAACUCUGUUAUUAGGGAAGAACAAAUGUGUAAGUAACCAUGCACGUCCUGACGGUACCUAAUCAGAAAGCCACGGCUAACUACGUG